GCCGCCGUGUCUGAGCCCCGAGCCGGGGAGCCCAGCGUUUGAGGUGGGUAACCCGAGCCCUCGAAGCCCUUGAAGCUGCGGGGGUGGCUUAGCUUCAGUGUUUUGGCCGAGAACACCCUUAAAGCUUAAAAUAAAACCUGCCUGUGGGGUGUGGGGAGGACCGAGGCGUAUGCGCAUCAGCACGCCCCCCUCCCCGCCCCAUACCCUCCUCGGCUCUGGUUUGGGGAACAGGAUGCCGAGGGCUUGGACCAGAGGGGCCGGAGCCCCCCCCCCCCCCCCCCCCCCCCCCCCCGGCCCCGUGGAUGCUCCAGAUCCCGGACCCACACCCCGGCCGGCCCCAGAUGCCCUCCCACACUUACGAAGGAAAUGCAGGCGGCCAGGAGAAGGAUCCGCACCAGGAGGGAGCUCUACCCAGGGAAAAAGAAGAAAAGGACACAUUCAUUUGGGGCUCAGUCUAAUGCCCCCCCCCCAGGAUUCUGGGGCUAAGGGUGGGAAGCCUUAACUGAAGAACUUAGAGCAAGAAGGGUCCUUGGAGGUUGCCGAUCCUGCUGUUCACUGUCCGGUCCCGUUAAGAGAACUUGGCCGCAAACCCCGAGAAGCACUAUUGGGCUCUGCACUUACCGCUCAACAAACAGGACCGCCCACGGGGGAGCAAUGGGCCGAAAGCACAGGGCUAGAGGGCAACAGGGACUUGACCUGACGCAGCCUUCUGGCCUCUCAGCUCUGGAGCGGGCAACGCCGAGUGGGCUGCUUUCCUGCCCCACCUGCCCCAGCCCCCGCUGCAAACAGUGGCCACAGCCAUCAAGACGGAACUGAGAUAAACCCUUUUAUUUAUUUAUGCUUCUCCAUUUUGUUUAAAACAACAACAACAACCACCUUAAUAUAACGGACAGCCCUUCCCCCUCACCCUUCCUCGGGCUGGGGGGGUGGUUAAUGGGGAAAAGGCCCCCAGGG